rnacentral:misc_RNA from 1 species
AGACAUGUUUGCCACAUUUGAGAAUUUAGUAGCAGUUGCAAUGCUUGUUCAACGAUUUGAUUUUCAAAUGGCUCUUGGAGCUCCUCCUGUUAAAAUGACAACUGGGGCUACCAUCCACACCACAGAAGGAUUAAAAAUGACUGUAACACGAAGAUCAAGACCUCCAAUAGUUCCCAACUUGGAGAUGGCAACAUUAGAAGUAGAUGUCAAUUCAGUGUCAAGCGACAGAGCCGAAGCUGAAGCUUCUACUGUUCGACCAUAAUAGAACUGACUACAAGCAACAGCAGCAUGUAUUUAACAAACAAGGAACUAUGUACGGUUAGGGUCCUUAAUGCUGUCAGUCAAGAUGAAGUCACUGUAAGUAUAUUAAUGGUAUACAAUAGACCCUUAUAGGCAAAAAUCUCAUUAAAAAUGAAUCCACUUUUGGUGGCCAAUUCUUUAUCAAG